GCAGCUGAGGGACUGGAAACUCGGGUCCUGAAGCCAGACUGGCUGGGCUCUCUCCUGCCCCUGCCACCGCCCAGCUGUGCAACCUGGGUUAGCUUUCCCACCAAGCAGACACUGAGACCGGCUUUAAGCACAACAACUUCUGUGAAAAGUGAGACAGGUCAUGGAAGGAAACCGAUGUAAGAUGAGGCUGAGGGUCUUCACCCACCCCCGCCAUCAUAUGGGGCCACUGAAAGAUGGCAUGAGGCAUCAGGGGUGGCAGCCUGGAGAGUGGAAAGCAGGCAACAAGCUUGAAAUGCUAUUGCGAUUCAUGGCUGCAAGACUCUGCCUUUGGACUCCCUGGUGGUCUGGUGGUCAAGAACCCACCUGCCAGUGCAGGAGACACGGAUUCAGUCCCUGGUACGGGAAGAUAUCACAUGCCGUGGGGAACCAAGCCCGUGUGCCACAACUCUCGAGCCUGCGCACUAGAGCCCAGGAACCACAACCACUGGGCCCAUGUGCUGUAACUACUGGAGCCCAAGUGCCCUAGAAUCCAGGCUCCGCAGCAGGAGAAGCCACUGCAGUGAGAAGCCCGUGCACUGCAACUAGAGAGUAACCCCGGCUUACCACAGCUAGACAAAGCCCACACACAGCAAAGAAGACCCAGCCCAGCCAAAAACUUGAUAUACUUUUUCAAAAAGACUUUGCCUUCCACUUAGUGGCCCGUCUUGCUCGGUUCUGGUUUGAACUGAGUAUUAUGUGACUACAGAACAGACUCCUGUGUGU
ensembl:lncRNA